UACAGAGGGUGCAAGCGUUGUUCGGAAUUACUGGGCGUAAAGCGCGUGUAGGCGGCUUUGCAAGUCGGAUGUGAAAGCCCACGGCUCAACCGUGGAAGUGCAUCCGAAACUGCAUGGCUGGAGUCUCGGAGAGGAAGGUGGAAUGCUUGGUGUAGAGGUGAAAUUCGUAGAUAUCAAGCAGAACACCUGCGGCGAAGGCGGCCUUCUGGACGAUGACUGACGCUGAGACGCGAAAGCGUGGGGAGCAAACAGG
rnacentral:rRNA from 1 species